rnacentral:misc_RNA from 1 species
UCUCCGUAGGUGAACCUGCGGAGGGAUCAUUACUGAGUGAGGGCUCACGCCCGACCUCCAACCCUUUGUGAACACAUCUUGUUGCUUCGGGGGCGACCCUGCCGUUUCGGCGGUGGCGCUCCCGGUGGCCAAUUAUUAAACUCUGCAUCUCUUGCGUCGGAGUCUUAAAGAAAUUUAAACAAAACUUUCAACAACGGAUCUCUUGGUUCUGGCAUCGAUGAAGAACGCAGC